GUCCACGCCGUAAACGAUGGAUGCUAGGUGUUGGGGUAUUGACCCCUCCAGCGCCGCAGUUAACGCAUUAAGCAUCCCGCCUGGGGAGUACGGCCGCAAGGCUAAAACUCAAAGGAAUUGACGGGGCCCGCACAAGCGGUGGAGCAUGUGGUUUAAUUCGACGCAACGCGCAGAACCUUACCUGGGUUAAAUCCGCCGGAACCUUACAGAGAUGUAGGGGUGCUCUUCGGAGAAUCGGCGAGAAGGUGCUGCAUGGCUGUCGU
rnacentral:rRNA from 1 species